GAUGAAGAACGCAGCGAAAUGCGAUACGUAAUGUGAAUUGCAGAAUUCAGUGAAUCAUCGAAUCUUUGAACGCAUAUUGCGCUCUCUGGUAUUCCGGAGAGCAUGCUUGUUUGAGUAUCAGUAAACACCUCAACUUCCAUAUCUUUUUUGAAAUGGGAGUUGGACUUGAGUGAUCCCAACGCUUUUCCUCACCGAAAGGUGGCGGGUUACUUGAAAUGCAGGUGCAGCUGGACUUUUCUCUGAGCUAUAAGCAUAUCUAUUUAGUCUGCCUAAAAACAGAUUAUUACCUUUGCUGCAGCUAACAUAAAGGAGAUUAGUUCUUGUGCUGACUGAUGCAGGAUUCACAAAGACAGGCUUCGGCCGACUUUGUAAACUCGAUCUCAAAUCAAGUAAGACUACCCGCUGAACUUAAGCAUAUCAAUAAGCGGAGGA
rnacentral:misc_RNA from 1 species